rnacentral:rRNA from 1 species
CCGUCUAAGGUGGGGUCGAUGAUUGGGGUGAAGUCGUAACAAGGUAGCCGUAUCGGAAGGUGCGGCUGGAUCACCUCCUUUCU